UACGUAGGGUGCAAGCGUUAAUCGGAAUUACUGGGCGUAAAGCGUGCGCAGGCGGUGAUGUAAGACAGGUGUGAAAUCCCCGGGCUUAACCUGGGAACUGCAUUUGUGACUGCAUCGCUGGAGUGCGGCAGAGGGGGAUGGAAUUCCGCGUGUAGCAGUGGAAUGCGUAGAUAUCAAGUGGAACACCAGUGGCGAAGGCGAGUCCCUGGACAACUCCUGACACUGAGGCACGAAAGCUAGGGGAGCAAACAGG
rnacentral:rRNA from 1 species